GAUGAACGCUGGCGGCGUGCCUAAUACAUGCCAGUCGAGCGAACAGACGAGGAGCUUGCUCCUCUGACGUUAGCGGCGGACGGGUGAGUAACACGUGGAUAACCUACCUAUAAGACUGGGAUAACUUCGGGAAACCGGAGCUAAUACCGGAUAAUAUAUUCAACGGCUGGGUUCAAUGGUGAAUGAGGGUUUGCGUGUCACUAUUAGAUGGUUCCGGGCCGCAUUAGCUAGUUGGUAAGGUAACGGCUUACCAAGGCGACGAUGCGUAGCUGACCUGAGAGGGUGAUCGGCCACACUGGAACUGAGACACGGUCCAGACUCCUACGGGAGGCAGCAGUAGGGAAUCUUCCGCAAUGGGCGAAAGCCUGACGGAGCAACGCCGCGUGAGUGAUGAAGGUCUUCGGAUCGUAAAACUCUGUUAUUAGGGAAGAACAAAUGUGUAAGUAACUAUGCACGUCUUGACGGUACCUAAUCAGAAAGCCACGGCUAACUACGUG
rnacentral:rRNA from 1 species